CACGUAGGAAAGAAUCAUAAUUGUAUUUCGGAUAUACAUGGCUGGCCCGUGAUAUCCAUGUCGUUCACGAGCGUUCACCAUCUUCUUUCUCUUUCGAUAUGAUCGUGUUCUUUGGCUUUGCUUUGCUCCACUAGAUACAGAUUCUGAGCUACUGCCAACUGGUGAUAUCUCCAUCUCUUCUUACCUAACAUUAGCUUCUACAAACUUUAAAAGCAUCUACAACAUCUGUCGUUGUUGAUAUACUUGCAAGAGAAAUUUAUGAGAAAAAGAUGUUGAAGCAAUCACACAACCGAAACCCGAGGACAAAUGGCUACAAGGUAAAACAAGGUCUUCAAAUAUUUACUUUAAUUGUUGUUGGCAUCUGGUUGCUAUACCAACUCAAACACUCACAUGAAAACAAAAUACUUGGAAGGAAAGGGUUGCAGUUAUGGAUGAAAAAACCCUACGAAUUGAUGGGUGAUGCAAAAGAGAGAAAAACUGAAAUUUUCAUGAAAGAAAAUACGGUGGAAGAGGAAGAACCGGAGGAUGUAGAGGACAUGAUUGAUGAAGAAGACAAGGAAGAGGAGGAAGAAAACGAAGCAGUAGAUGCAGAUAUGAGCUUAUUCGAAUAUCAAAGCCAUACUGAAGGUGAGAAAGAAACACAACCAACAACUCAAAAACAUUUCAAAAAUGUUGUUGUACCGUGAAACACCAAGGCUUUGUUUGCGAGUUUGGAGGGAAGGUGAAUGAAAGGCUUUGAAGGGUGGAAAAUACGAGGGAAAAUGAAGAAAUCUUUUAAAUUUUUUGAAAGUGUACUUUUUUAGAGAAUGAUAAAUUAAUGCAUAUGAUUACUAUA